AUGACCGCCCUUGGGGCCGCGUCCCUCCUCCCCGAGCCUGCAGGCGUUGCAGGGGAGGACCCUGAAAUCACCACACUCGCGGUUGAGCUCACCGUGUGCCUUGCUAAUUGUGCCAGCAAGGGCAAGGUGAAGGAAGCCGCACCGUAUCAACGGCUCCUCGUCCUUGUUGACCAGCUUCGCCCAUGGCUCCGGAUUCUGACCGAGGAGUCCAGCAGGAAGCAUCUCACUCUGCUUGUGAAUGCACUGAGCCGUUGUGCUAUUUUCCUUGCUGCCGAAUCUCUGUUUUUCAAUGAAAAGCUUGUGCACAAGUUCUGUGUUGCAACCUUACAGGAGUGUGAGAAGCCACAAAUGAUCGAACACUUGCCCGCUGUUGCACGCGUGAUCUGUUCUUCUGUAGAUUUGAGUUGGGGAGGGAGCACACAUCUUUUGCUUGGUGUGUUGAAGAUUGCUGUUUCACAUGUCAAGGAUGACUUACCGAAAGCUGUAAACGAGUUCCUGAAAUUUGUAGCAUAUUUUUUCCGAAGCUUUCUUUCUUCAAAUAGGAAUGUAUGUGCUGGUGCUUCAGAACUACUUUUACAAGGUGGUUAUUUUCCCGAGAUUUCCGCGCCCAUCGCCUCAGUUCUCCAUCUCUAUGCUACUGUAUUACGCUUCAGUACACAGCAAAUAGAAAGCGAAGAUCACCUGACCAUGGCAGUGAAUUUUCUCAAGAAUGAAAAGAAUCUACAAACUUUGAACACUGCACUUGACACACUAGCACGGAUUUUCUGUGUCAGCGAUGGCAAAUCCAAUCAACGUGAUAGUUUGGGGAAAUAUGCAAGUCGUCGAACAGACGCCGGACAUCCCAAUAAGAAACAUACUUAUAGUUAUUCUCAGUCACAUGAGCAUAUUUAUUUUGUGGCGUAUCUUGAUUCUUUGGAGUUCCUUUGCAAGAUACUAUUAUUGCAGCAUGCAGAUGUGGUUUGGGAGAACUUCUCUAAAGGAAAAACAGUCCCCAAUUUGGGAAACAUGACUUGUGUCUUAAUGGCACUGGACCAAUUCAUUGAUUCCAGCUUUGUUGCUUAUAGUUGUACGAAAAGGUCUGAAGAAGAGGAGGAGAGAUUGCAUAAACAACGUGUAACCUUAAUGAAUACCCUAGUUUCAGCGAUCAAAAUUUCCUUUGUGACCAACGAGGCUACCCAGAAGAGCUUGUCUUCUAUCAGUUGUGCCAUUUCAAGUACAUGGAUAAAGCUUGAUGAGCUCAAAUUUUUAAUCCAUUCCAUCAGUAACAUUGGUGCGACACUUUAUAAUAUUGGACAUCUUGAAGAGGCACCAAAGGCAUUAGAACUAUGCUGUCAAACAACAUGGGCAUACGCCAGACUUUCUUACUGUAGACUAUCAGCAAGAACGGAAGGUCACAUCAUUACUGAGGAUCUACCAAAAGAUACACUGAAGGAUAUCAUUACAGCUGCAUUUGCAAGGAUAACAAAGAUGGUUGGCAUUCUCGAUAGAUGUGGCUCAAAAGCGAUACGUGGUAUUAUUGUGAAGAGCCUGUCUGAAUUUUUUGUUUAUGGUGACACAUCUGAUUAUCACGAAAGCUAUUUGGCUCUGAUAAAGUUAUGGGUGAAGAUAACACUUAAGGAUUUUGAAGAUUACCAACGAGUGGAUAGUGCUCCUCUUCUCUAUCACUCUCUUAUGGGCUGCUCGCCUCCCUUGCCAAUGAAGUUCAUAGGCUUAAUCGUAGAGCAGGAAUUAUUAGCAUAUGGAGAAUCUCGUGUGACCAUGCUCUGUGCAAAUAUGCAACAUAGAAUAGUAGAUAUUCUAUUGAAUGAAAUAUAUUGUUCAAAAGAAUAUUAUCUGGACAGAUCAAAGGUUUUAGUUAGGAAGGCAUGUAUACUCCGUGGAUCUGGGGUGCAAAACAUAAGCAACUGUCUUGAGUCCUUAUCUGAAGCCAUAUCUUUACUGCAAGGCAUCUUACUGGAUUCAUCUCAAGGCAAUGCAAUUGUGAUCCAUGAAUUGGCUAUUGCAUAUUGCCUGCAUGCACAUUGUGCCCAGGAAGCCAAUCAUGGCGGCAAGGUAAUCUUUGAUAAUGCUAGGAGUGUUGUUGGCCUGUGGUCAAAGAUGGGUACUUUGGAUCAUUGUUCUCCUGGUGGGAUCUUUCAGCAGCAAUCCAAAACUCUUGUACCACUUCUUUGUUCCCUGGUUGAUUUGCUGGCAAUGAAGGGCUGCUUUGAGCUUCAGUUUGAACUGUGCAAGCUUAUCAUAAUGAUAUGGAAGCAAGAAAACUUACCCCUAGAAAAGUUAUUCUCCAUGUUAUUUAUCAACGGGCGCCUUAAUCAUGCGUGCUGUCAUCUCCCAAUGGACCAGAAUUUUGUUUCUUAUGUGGCACGGUAUCUUGGUGUUGAUUGCCACAAUACAAUAUUUUGGAGAAACUGUUUCAAAGAAGAUUAUCCUUCUCUUACUAUGUUUCUUCAGCGGCUGUGGCCUGUUGAUUUCUUUUCUCAAUCAUGUGAACACUCCUUUGGAAAUCAGUUUGGUUUCAAUGCUAGUGUUGAUGAGAUUGAUAAAGUUGCAUCAUCUCUGGUUUCUGAAGGUCCUUCGGGCAAUCAAUCAACCUAUCUGGCUGGCUGUAUAUACUAUGAUUUGUCAGAAAGACUUCUGUCAAGAGGAUAA
rnacentral:rRNA from 1 species